CACGUUAGCGCGCUUUGCUGACGUGGCAACAAAUCGUGUCCACGAGGGGGCGAUUUGUUGCCACGUCAGCAAAGCGCUCUGACGUGG
rfam:Gossypium raimondii Chr07_contig_328, whole genome shotgun sequence.